GUUGAAGAAACUUUCAACUUAACCUUCGAUGAUUACUAUCUUAAACAAACGGAUAGUAAAUUUGAAAAUAAAUCAAUUCUUGUUGAUUCAGAUACUCAAAUUGAUAAUUCUGAAAUAAAUGAUUUUGAUUAUGACUUAAUUUUUGGAACUCCUGACAGGGCAAUUGAUGCGGAAGUUUAUGCUCCUGAUAAUCAAACAUCAGAAUCCUCAAAACAUAUUAAUGAUUCAACAAUAACUACAAUGUCAAUAUCUUGCGAAAGUGUGCCUGAAGUUCGUAUUGAGGAAGAGCAUACGAUCACCAAUGUACAGAGAGAGCAAACUUUCGAGGGAGAGAAUGAAAAUAUGAAUCAUCAUGUUGAGGGGGAGCAUUCGCAAAUNCCUGCAUGUUUUACUCAGAAUCGGUCAUUUAUUCAUCGAAGAGUCAAUGUCACUCCAUAUGAAAUACUCAACAAUCGAAAACCUAAUGUAAAAUUUUUCCAUGUUUUUGGUUGCAGGUGUUUUAUAAUUAAUCUAAAAGAUAAUUUGACCAAGUUCCAAGCUAAAGCUGAUGAAGGCAUUUUCUUAGGAUAUUUGCAAAAUUCAGUUGCAUACAGGGUGUUAAAUAAACGAACAAGAAAAGUUGAAGAAACUUUCAACUUAACCUUCGAUGAUUACUAUCUUAAACAAACGGAUAGUAAAUUUGAAAAUAAAUCAAUUCUUGUUGAUUCAGAUACUCAAAUUGAUAAUUCUGAAAUAAAUGAUUUUGAUUAUGACUUAAUUUUUGGAACUCCUGACAGGGCAAUUGAUGCGGAAGUUUAUGCUCCUGAUAAUCAAACAUCAGAAUCCUCAAAACAUAUUAAUGAUUCAACAAUAACUACAAUGUCAAUAUCUUGCGAAAGUGUGCCUGAAGUUCGUAUUGAGGAAGAGCAUACGAUCACCAAUGUACAGAGAGAGCAAACUUUCGAGGGAGAGAAUGAAAAUAUGAAUCAUCAUGUUGAGGGGGAGCAUUCGCAAAUUCAACAGGAAUAUCAUUUUGAGGGGGAGCAUCAAGAUGAACAUCAUGUUGAGGGGGAGCAUGAUGCAACAGAGACAAUUAAUCUUGAUGAAAACGAUGAAUUUCAUGAAU
rnacentral:lncRNA from 1 species